GAAAUGCGAUAAGUAAUGUGAAUUGCAGAAUUCAGUGAAUCAUCGAAUCUUUGAACGCACCUUGCGCUCCUUGGUAUUCCGAGGAGCAUGCCUGUUUGAGUGUCAUGAAAUUCUCAACCUUUUUGGCUUUUCCAUAUGUGGUUAGCCAUUUUGGAUUGGAUUGUUGGGGGUUGCUGGCUUCAUAAAAGUCAGCUCUUCUUAAAUACAUUAGCAAAGUCUUUGCUGAAUUAUCCUUUGGUGUGAUAAAAUAUCUAUGCCAUCGAGAAUCAGCCUUGUCACAGAUUUUGCUUCUAAUAGUCCUUUUGUGGACAGCAUGUACAAAUUUGACCUCAAAUCAGGUAGGACUACCCGCUGAACUUAA
rnacentral:rRNA from 1 species